ACGUACACUCCUACGGGAGGCAGCAGUGGGGAAUAUUGGACAAUGGGCGCAAGCCUGAUCCAGCCAUGCCGCGUGAGUGAUGAAGGCCCUAGGGUUGUAAAGCUCUUUCACCGGAGAAGAUAAUGACGGUAUCCGGAGAAGAAGCCCCGGCUAACUUCGUGCCAGCAGCCGCGGUAAUACGAAGGGGGCUAGCGUUGUUCGGAAUUACUGGGCGUAAAGCGCACGUAGGCGGAUCGAUCAGUCAGGGGUGAAAUCCCAGGGCUCAACCCUGGAACUGCCUUUGAUACUGUCGAUCUGGAUUAUGGAAGAGGUGAGUGGAAUUCCGAGUGUAGAGGUGAAAUUCGUAGAUAUUCGGAGGAACACCAGUGGCGAAGGCGGCUCACUGGUCCAUUACUGACGCUGAGGUGCGAAAGCGUGGGGAGCAAACAGGAUUAGAAACCCGUGUAGUCCCAUG
rnacentral:rRNA from 1 species